UACGAAGGGUGCAAGCGUUACUCGGAAUUACUGGGCGUAAAGCGUGCGUAGGUGGUUCGUUAAGUCUGUCGUGAAAGCCCCGGGCUCAACCCGGGAGGGUCGUGGCGAACUGGGAGGCUUGAGGCCGGUAGAGGUGGGUGGAACUCCUGGUGGAGUGGUGAAAUGCGUAGAGAUCAGGAAGAACACCCGUGGCGAAGGCGGCCCACUGGGCCGGUACUGACGCUGAGGCACGAAGGCGUGGGGAGCGAACGGG
rnacentral:rRNA from 1 species